UAAUACGUAGGGUGCGAGCGUUAAUCGGAAUUACUGGGCGUAAAGCGUGCGCAGGCGGUUUCGUAAGACAGAUGUGAAAUCCCCGGGCUUAACCUGGGAACUGCGUUUGUGACUGCGAGACUUGAGUGCGGCAGAGGGGGGUGGAAUUCCACGUGUAGCAGUGAAAUGCGUAGAGAUGUGGAGGAACACCGAUGGCGAAGGCAGCCCCCUGGGUCGACACUGACGCUCAUGCACGAAAGCGUGGGGAGCAAACAGG
rnacentral:rRNA from 1 species